UCAUUUUUUUGGAAAAAAUUACUGAGCAACACAUAAGGCCAGAUCCUCUUGCUGUAACCCAAGGGGCAAUGGGGAGAAAAUGAACAAAUUCUUGACUUGCUAGAGCUCAGACUCAGGUCUCUCAUCUUAUUUCUUUCAACCUUAAAAAACCAGACUCAGUGAAUAAAAAUGAGAAAAUUUAGUGGAGCAUCAUGGUGCAAGGCUGUAAUCCUGGUACUUGGGAGACUGAGGCAAGAGGAUAGUUAAUUCGAAGACAGCCUCAUCUACACAGUGGAUUCAAGGACAACUUGAGUCACACAGAGAGCUUAUCUCAAAGGAAAAAGAAGAAUAAAGAGAAUUUACUGCAUAAAAUAUCAUCUUAUAGAAAAAUUAGGAAAUUAAGGGUCUCACCACGUGGCCCAGGCUGGCCUGGAACUUGUCACACUCGCAGCCUGGAAACUGGUUCUCUCUCAUCGCUUCUCUUCCUCUCCAGGUCUCCUUUUUAUGCUGGCAACAGUCCUCAGGGAAUGGAAGCCAGCGUGGAGCCUGGAGCUGGCAGGACAACCUGGAAGAAUGAUGGGUUGCAGGGCAGAAUGGCAAUGACCGAUUGCAGUCCCCUGGGAUACGCUGGAACCUGUACGGGUCCAAGUUCGGGGCAAGCAUGGCCAGCAGGGGCCAGACCCUGCAGCUCGAGGAAAACACGCAUCUUAGUGCUACAUGGUGGGAGCUGGGAUUCAUUGUAUUGUUCUAUUCUGUAGCCUAUAGGUGUAAAUAUUCUGCAGCUGCUAGAAUGUAUUAUGUUAUUAGUCAUUAAAAAAAGAGAAAACAACUUAGAGAAAGUAAUCAGAAGGACAAAGAGUUGGAUCAUUUGUAGGAAUUAGUGCAAGGAAGUGAGUCCAAGCUUUUUACAUCCUGUAGUUUGGGAGAUCAGCUCAUAACUCAGAAGAUGUUACCAUCCCUGCCUGCUAGGAGAGUGAAUGGAUAACAUCUUUACGUUCUGCCUACUUUAGGUACCCACUCUCUGAUCUGGAAAAGCUGUCUUACAGAAAUACCCACAUAGGGGCCACAUGGGCGUGGAAUUUUUGCUACAGCAUUAUUUGUAAAAGCCUAAGCUUUGGAAAUGUCCAUAGGGGGUUUAUAUAAAUUAUGAUGCACCAUCCACACCACAGGCACACAAUACAGAGAUUUAGAAGCACAGUUAAAAACACCAAGUUAAAGAUGCUGGAAGAGAGGCCUGAGUUUUGUGAGUCCAUCCAUUGAAGGUCCCAGAGAAGGCAAACCUAUGGGGAUAGAAUGCAGACAGUGGUUCCCAGGGCCAGGAGUGAGGCUGGGACUGACUGUGAUUAGCCCCAGGGGUCUUUUGAAGUAAAGGAUCUAAAUCUGGAUUACAGUGAUAUUUGUAAAACUCCAUAAAUGUAAUAAAAAUCAUUGGCUUGUGCUAGAGUUUGAACAUCUGAUCAAAAUUCAUGUUGAAAUGUAUUUGUCAUUAAAUAAAAGAAGAUAAUAAAAGAACAUAGGGAAACGUAGGGAAAUAGAUCUUUUGCAGUAAGGAUGGUGACCAAGACCUGGAGGGGGAAGAGGAGAGAAAGGGAAUGAAAAGAGAAUUAAAAUGUGUUAUGUACCAUCAUGUACUGAGAACGUGUACUAAUAA